CUCAUUUCUCCUCCCCCAAGCCCCCGCCACCACCCAGCCUCCCACCCGACUGCGCCGUCGCCCCCUGCUCACCCCUGCGCCGUCGGCCCCCCUCAUCCUCCCUGAGCGCCGCACCCUCCUCGGCUACUCCAUGUGCGCCGGCCGGCCGGCCGCCCUCCUCUUCCUCGAGAAGUCGAGAUCUCUCAGUAGCCCACGCGCCCCUCCCGCUCCCCGCACCCCCGAUCGCUCGGCGCGGCGGCGCGCACUGCGGCUGGCCCACCGACCC
rnacentral:lncRNA from 1 species